rnacentral:lncRNA from 1 species
CCGGCGGCUGCGCGGCUCCGAGGCAGCGCCGCUGCCGAGCGCGGAGAGCUGCGCCCUGCCCGGGGCCAGCGGGGGCGGCUCGCCCAGCUCUGCCAGCGGCAGUCCGCCCCCGGCAGCCAGAGCCUUGCCCGCAUCCUUCCUGCGAGCUGAGAGGGACAUCGGCGAGAGCUGGAGAGCCCCGGCUGGAGCCGUGCGGAGGGAGGGCUGCAACAGGGCAGAGGAGGAUGCUGAGACGCUCCUUUCUACAGCUGUACAGCACAGAAACAUUUCUGCAAGCUUGAAGCAAAGGGACUGUUACAUGGGAGGAAGCACUGAGCACUUCUGGGCAAGCAAGGAUCCAUUGCAAAGCACAUCCAGAAAAGGAAGACCUUUAUUCUCACUCAUGAGAAAGAUCUGUCAAGUCAGUGCGUGGUUUGAUUGAAUGAGAGCAGUGAAACUGCUCUCUGUGGUGGAAGAUUUUUAAAAAGAGAGGCUCUGAACUGAACAACUACCCCAACAACUACUGAUGAAUGUCUAGAAAGGAACAUAGGCAAAAUUGAGACAUGAGGCCUCUGAGAAUCUCUGAAUUGACACCUCAAAUUUUGGCCGGCAUAUCUCUCCCAGCACCUAAAAUUAUGCUUUUUCCAUUAAAACAGGCUGAAGUCUAUAAGGACUCAAGUACCUUGACAUGUUAGCCUGACCAUCCCCCCCUAAUAUUAAUAAACUUUAACACAUAUUUCUCCUAUGGUGAAAU